UAAGACGGAGGAGGCAAGCGUUGUCCGGAAUUAUUGGGCGUAAAGAGCGCGUAGGCGGUUUUCCAAGUCAUAUGUGAAAACUUUAGGCUUAACCUAAAGAUUGCAUGUGAAACUGGAUAACUAGAGUACGGCAGAGGAAAGUGGAAUUCCUGGUGUAGCGGUGAAAUGCGCAGAUAUCAGGAAGAACACCAGUGGCGAAGGCGGCUUUCUAGGCCGUUACUGACGCUGAGGCGCGAAAGCUAGGGGAGCGAACAGG
rnacentral:rRNA from 1 species